rnacentral:rRNA from 1 species
UACGGAGGGAGCUAGCGUUGUUCGGAAUUACUGGGCGUAAAGCGUGCGUAGGCGGCUUUGUAAGUUAGAGGUGAAAGCCCGGAGCUCAACUCCGGAAUUGCCUUUAAAACUGCAUCGCUUGAAUCCAGGAGAGGUGAGUGGAAUUCCGAGUGUAGAGGUGAAAUUCGUAGAUAUUCGGAAGAACACCAGUGGCGAAGGCGGCUCACUGGACUGGUAUUGACGCUGAGGUACGAAAGCGUGGGGAGCAAACAGG